GCCAGCAUGGUGUAGUGGUUUGAGUGUUGGACUACAACUCUGUAGACCAGGGUUCGAAUCCACGUUCGGCCA
rnacentral:tRNA from 1 species